UCCCUUUCACCGUCAUCCAUGAGAAGACACAGUGUUCCAUCCAGAGGAUGUAGCAUCAAGGCGUCAUCUUAAAAGCAGAGAAAAGACUCUUACUUGACACCAGAUGCCAGUGCAUUGAUCUUGGACUUCCCAGCCUCUAGAACUGUAAACAGCCCUGGGACAAAGAACAGACUACGGGUAUUGCCUUCUUAAUCAACAAUAAAGUAUUAGUUGGCUUCCAGGCAGACACCACUGACUUUCAAGAGAAAGGCACGGGAGUAAGGAAGUAAAGAAUUCAGGUGCUGCUUGAAAAUACAACAAACUGUCUUCAGAAUACUUUUAUGUGUUGUUGAAAGAAAGCACUGCAGCUAAUAUAGCUACAAAGGAGAAACAGUUAUUCUUAAAUGUCAUCUAUUUGCUGGACCUGAACAGGAAUUCACUAUGGAGCUCAUACAACUACCACCUUCAGCUAUUAAUCAAGGAGUCAUUCAACUGAGAAAGGGGAGAUUGAGAUGUUGAAUCAUUUCUCAUUCUGUGAAGUCUACCAGAAUAACCCAUAAAGCAAAUAUCAACCUAUUUCAAGCCAAAAUAAAUGGAUGUGAAGCAGAUUGGACUCAAAGCAUUGAAAUCAAGACUUUGGCAUUAACUAACUCUGUGUGUUUAGACAAAAUGGAAUCAUCUUGAAGAACACAGAUUAUCAGGCCUUACCCUAGAGUUUCUUACUCAGUACCUCUGGUGUGAGAGCACAAAAACUGGCCUUUAUAACAAGUCCUCAUGUGAUGCUGAUGCUGUUAGACUGGAAGCCACGCUCGUGAACCAUGGGUUUAGAUAUCACUGGGACCCUCAUGGAGCCCAUUUUCUCAGGCGUAGAAUGUGACUGAAGACCACUUACCACCAAAGAAUUUAUCUGGGAGAAGUCCUUUUUAAAAGCAUAUACAUAUUUUUUUUAAUAUGUACACAUUCUUAAAAGAAUUAUUUUCAGUUAUAAUCUAGGACCACUCCACUGAUCUGACUACUUUAUGAGAAACAUAAUCAGAUUAUUAUAACAUAUGAAGACUGUCAGUGGUACAUUCUAGUGUCACCCUGGAUAUUAUAUUAUUGAAAGUAAAUGGAAUUAUGGGAUUUUUGGGGGGUGGGGAGUGACAGAAUAUUUGCUUUCAUUACUUUUAGGAUGCCCCAUCUAUAGCUAUUCUUUCCUCUUGCUUUCUGGUAUUCUUUUGACAGUUAGAAAAAUGAAAAAUACUGAUACAGCAGACGAAUUCUGGAACUAACACUUCCACAAAUCAUUGAUAAUCCAUUUUCCAACUUCUUCAAAUUCCAGACCAUCAACAAGCUAUUCAAAACAAUAAAUGUUAAUAGUUUUGGUGGAGUUAAGCAGCAGAAGUUAAAAGCAUUGUGGAAGACAGUAUGGUGAUUCCUCAAGGAUCUAGAAGCGGAAAUACCAUUUGACCCAGCAAUCCCAU
rnacentral:lncRNA from 1 species